GUUUCAAGGUGAGAUUUGGUGUGAAAUGAAGCUUUGGUGGAGCUUCAAUGGUGGAAUGGGUGGAAGGGAGUGUUUUGGCUGGUUGAUGAGGGAGAAGAUGGAUGAUGACUUUUGUCUAUUUUUAUCUCUUUUUAUUUGUUUUAAGUGGGCUUGGUUAAUUGUAAUUGGUGGUAAUGGUUAAUGACAUCAUGGUGAUGUCAU
rnacentral:misc_RNA from 1 species